AUCAAACUCGACUGGUUUGGGGCUCAAGCAGGACAAGGAACCUACAUGGGUAGUCCUGCUUUCGGUACUCCUUUGGCCUGGACUACAAACAACCCUGCGAAACCCCAAUAUCAGGAACUCAACAAAUGUGGAGAUGCCUAUUUUAUGGUGGAUUUUUGACAUGGAUUGCUCGGAGACGGAAAACGGCUGGUUUGACGUCAAAGCUUAUCUCACUAACUACGCACCUGGAUGGGAAGCCGACAUUUCCCAAUCAGCCUGCACUAGGACAGAGGAGGAGAAUCACGAGAUAUUGGGCUUGACAAGCGAUUCUUUUAAAUCUGGUUUUUAACUAUUACUAGGAUAGAAGAACACUUUUUAACCUUUUUAUAAACAUUUACAUUGACGAAAUAAUAAGAAUGAAAAUGUGUUUUUUGUUCCUGAAAUGAUAUGACUAAUGAAAAACGGAUCGACUGCUGGAUUGGCAAUGUUGCCUUUUGGUGGAUAAAAUUAAAAAUAUAACCAAUGCAUUUCCGAUAAUAAAAAAUGUCUUGAAAAAAAUGUAUCAGCUCGACGAUUUUUUGCCCUCGAAUCUCCAAUCCCUUCAGCCCUCACAGCUGAAUUUGUUAAAGAAUCACCCUGAAUUAUGCCUGGAAGUUUUAAAGGAAGGGGCAGACCUGGUAGAAAACUGAAUAGGCCUACUAAAUGAUUCAGCUAAUA